CUGGUGCAGAGGAAUAUACCUGCUGAACAGCUUGCAGGAACAAAACACCCAGAGAGCAACAAAUGAAACAGAUUCGAAAGGCGCAGAGAACAAUAAAGAGUUAAAUGACUCAUGGGACCACCCAGCAUGACGGGUACAAGAAGGACACUGGGAUGCCCGAUCUAUCCUGUGCUGCUUCUCCAGAGGACUCAGAGGUGGUGAGACUGGAGGCUAACAUUUGAAGGAACACUGAAGAAUGAAAUUUUGGAAGAAGUUACCUCUGCCUCAAAGCCCUCUCGCUGCCUGGCUUGGUGCUAAGCCUCUGCUCAGGUUUCUGGCAGAGCAUCAGGGGAACUUCUGCCUUGCUCUGCAGACUCUCUGCACUUCCGCUGCUGCUGACUCACAGCUUUCUAUAUUGCUAGGCUGAAAGUCCUAAAAUUCAGUA